rnacentral:ncRNA from 1 species
UAUAUUUGCAGCCUGAUUGAAAAUCAUUCAGAUACAUAAAAAUCAUUAAACGAAUAUUGGAAUG